UGGGGAAUUUUGGACAAUGGGCGAAAGCCUGAUCCAGCAAUGCCGCGUGUGUGAAGAAGGCCUUCGGGUUGUAAAGCACUUUUGUCCGGAAAGAAAUCCUUGGCUCUAAUACAGUCGGGGGAUGACGGUACCGGAAGAAUAAGCACCGGCUAACUACGUGCCAGCAGCCGCGGUAAUACGUAGGGUGCAAGCGUUAAUCGGAAUUACUGGGCGUAAAGCGUGCGCAGGCGGUUUGCUAAGACCGAUGUGAAAUCCCCGGGCUCAACCUGGGAACUGCAUUGGUGACUGGCAGGCUAGAGUAUGGCAGAGGGGGGUAGAAUUCCACGUGUAGCAGUGAAAUGCGUAGAGAUGUGGAGGAAUACCGAUGGCGAAGGCAGCCCCCUGGGCCAGUACUGACGCUCAUGCACGAAAAGCGUGGGGGAGCAAAACAGGAUUAGAUACCCCUGGUAGUCCACGCCCUAAAACGAUGUCAACUAGUUGUUGGGGAUUCAUUUCCUUAGUAACGUAGCUAACGCGUGAAGUUGACCGCCUGGGGGAGUACGGUCGC
rnacentral:rRNA from 1 species